AUUUCCCGAUGUCCUCACUAUGUCAUGUCAUCAAUGAGCCAAUAACUUCAGUUAACCAUGCAACUGUACUGUAGGAUGAUAAACUAUGCAAGAUCAUAUUACCACUAUCACUCAAGAAGCU